UACGAAGGAUGCGAGCGUUAUCCGGAUUUAUUGGGUUUAAAGGGAGCGUAGGCGGUCUUAUAAGUCAGUGGUGAAAUCUCGUUGCUUAACAACGAACGUGCCAUUGAUACUGUAGGACUUGAGUACAGUUGCCGUUGGCGGAAUGUGUCAUGUAGCGGUGAAAUGCAUAGAUAUGACACAGAACACCGAUUGCGAAGGCAGCUGACGAAACUGUAACUGACGCUGAGGCACGAAAGCCAGGGGAGCAAACGGG
rnacentral:rRNA from 1 species